rnacentral:rRNA from 1 species
GAGUUUGAUCGUCGCUCAGAUUGAACGCUGGCGGCAUGCCUUACACAUGCAAGUCGAACGGCAGCAUGAUCUAGCUUGCUAGAUUGAUGGCGAGUGGCGAACGGGUGAGUAAUACAUCGGAACGUGCCCUGUAGUGGGGGAUAACUAGUCGAAAGAUUAGCUAAUACCGCAUACGACCUGAGGGUGAAAGUGGGGGACCGCAAGGCCUCAUGCUAUAGGAGCGGCCGAUGUCUGAUUAGCUAGUUGGUGGGGUAAAGGCCCACCAAGGCGACGAUCAGUAGCUGGUCUGAGAGGACGAUCAGCCACACUGGGACUGAGACACGGCCCAGACUCCUACGGGAGGCAGCAGUGGGGAAUUUUGGACAAUGGGCGAAAGCCUGAUCCAGCAAUGCCGCGUGUGUGAAGAAGGCCUC